rnacentral:rRNA from 1 species
UACGUAGGGGGCAAGCGUUGUCCGGAUUUAUUGGGCGUAAAGAGCGUGUAGGCGGCCAUACAGGUCCGUUGUGAAAACUCGAGGCUCAACCUCGAGACGUCGAUGGAAACCGUAUGGCUAGAGUCCGGAAGAGGAGAGUGGAAUUCCUGGUGUAGCGGUGAAAUGCGCAGAUAUCAGGAGGAACACCGGUGGCGAAGGCGGUUCUCUGGGAAUAUCCUGACGCUGAGGAGCGAAAGUGUGGGGAGCGAACAGG